CAGUAGCCGCGGUAAUACGAAGGGGGCUAGCGUUGCUCGGAAUGACUGGGCGUAAAGGGCGCGUAGGCGGAUUGUUUAGUUAGGCGUGAAAUUCCUGGGCUUAACCUGGGGACUGCGCUUAAUACAGGCAGUCUAGAGUGAGGAAGAGGGUUGUGGAAUUCCCAGUGUAGAGGUGAAAUUCGUAGAUAUUGGGAAGAACACCGGUGGCGAAGGCGGCAACCUGGUCCUUGACUGACGCUGAGGCGCGAAAGCGUGGGGAGCAAACAGGAUUAGAUACCCCUGUAGUCCCUGUCUCUUAUAA
rnacentral:rRNA from 1 species